ACAGGGAUUGCCUCAGUAACGGCGAGUGAAGCGGCAAUAGCUCAAAUUUGAAAUCUGGAGCCUUCGGCUUCCGAGUUGUAAUUUGAAGAGGAUGCUUCGGUUGUGGCCCUAGCCUAAGUUCCUUGGAACAGGACGUCGUAGAGGGUGAGAAUCCCGUUCACGGCUUCAGGCCUACUUCCAUGUGAAGCUCCUUCGAAGAGUCGAGUUGUUUGGGAAUGCAGCUCAAAAUGGGUGGUAAAUUUCAUCUAAAGCUAAAUAUUGGCGAGAGACCGAUAGCGCACAAGUAGAGUGAUCGAAAGAUGAAAAGCACUUUGAAAAGAGAGUUAAACAGUACGUGAAAUUGUUGAAAGGGAAGCGCUUGCAAUCAGACUCACCUGCGGUUGAUCAACGUUCCUUUUGGUUCGUGCACUCUGCCGUUUGUGGGCCAGCAUCAGUUAGGGCGGUCGGAUAAAGGCUUUGGGAAUGUGGCUCUCUUCGGAGAGUGUUAUAGCCCUUUGCGUAAUACGGCCAGUCCUGACUGAGGUCCGCGCUUUGCUAGGAUGCUGGCUUAAUGGUUGUAAGCGACCCGUCUUGAAACACGGACCAAGGAGUCUAACAUCUAUGCGAGUGUUUGGGUGUCAAACCCAUACGCGAAAUGAAAGUGAACGGAGGUGGGAGUCCUUACGGAUGCACCAUCGACCGAUCCUGAUGUCUUCGGAUGGAUUUGAGUAGGAGCAUAGCUGUUGGGACCCGAAAGAUGGUGAACUAUGCCUGAAUAGGGUGAAGCCAGAGGAAACUCUGGUGGAGGCUCGCAGCGGUUCUGACGUGCAAUCGAUCGUCAAAUUUGGGUAUAGGGGCGAAAGACUAAUCGAACCAUCUAGUAGCUGGUUCCUGCCGAAGUCCCCCUCUCAAGAUAUA
rnacentral:rRNA from 1 species